rnacentral:rRNA from 1 species
GGCCAGACUCCUACGGGAGGCAGCAGUGAGGAAUAUUGGUCAAUGGGCGGGAGUCUGAACCAGCCAAGUCGCGUGAGGGAAGACGGUCCUACGGAUUGUAAACCUCUUUUGUCAGGGAGCAAUUGGCGCUACGUGUAGCGUUAUCGAGAGUACCUGAAGAAAAAGCAUCGGCUAACUCCGUGCCAGCAGCCGCGGUAAUACGGAGGAUGCGAGCGUUAUCCGGAUUUAUUGGGUUUAAAGGGUGCGUAGGCGGAAUGCCAAGUCAGCGGUAAAAUCGCGGGGCUCAACCUCGCUCCGCCGUUGAAACUGGCGUUCUUGAGUGGGCGAGAAGUAUGCGGAAUGCGUGGUGUAGCGGUGAAAUGCAUAGAUAUCACGCAGAACUCCGAUUGCGAAGGCAGCAUACCGGCGCCCAACUGACGCUGAAGCACGAAAGCGUGGGUAUCGAACAGGAUUAGAUACCCUGGUA